rnacentral:misc_RNA from 1 species
UCGGUCUCUGCUGAAGAUGCUG